CUGACGACAUUGAUAAAGGACAUGAAUGUUAUUUCACCACCUUUAAGCCGAUGGUUCUAUGGCAAUGCACGAGCAUCGUGCUAGUCUACUACCAUUAUAAAAGAAAGAAAGGGGCAGAUCCAAACAAUCACAUCCAUCCGUCAUCAAAAUCUAAUGAUCCUUAAUCAUUAUGUGUUUAACACUACCAACCACGCAAUAAGCCACAGUCUAUCGAUCGCUAAUCUGCCCCGCAGUAAAAAAAGGAAGAAAACCGCCCGCCGGCACGACCUCCUCCUCCUCCCGCAGCCGCGCCCUUCACCGCCUCCUCGCGCCGCCGGAGCCACGGGAAGCGGCCGCGGGUCGCCGGGAGCCUCCCCUGCCGCCGGAGCCGCCCCGCCGCGCCCUUCGCCGCCUCCCCAGCCGCAGCUUGGCCGCCGCCACACCGCCUCCGCCACGCCGCCACUCCACGGGCCACGCCUCGAUCCCUUCAUCCUCUUCCCGAGCCGCCGGCGUCCAUCACGCGCCCCCCUACUCUUCUCCUCCAACCUGGCCAGUCCCCACACCCGGAGCCCCUGCGGAUCGAGGCGUCUUCCACGCAGAGGACGACGCGGGGAACCUCCAUUGCCCUCCAUUCUGACGGCCGCCCUACAGUGGCCCUGACACGAUGGUUCCCCUCUAUUGUUGACUGAUCGAGCGACGUGUUCAUUUUUUUUCUGUGGCAGAUCACGACGACGACCCUGACAGCAGAGGAGGAGGAGGACACGGAGAGGAAGGACCGAGAGUUAGACAUGGAUGUGCACUAUGAGGCAACACGCCGCCGUGUUUGCCCCGCCAUCUUCUGAUCUCUUCAGCAUUCCUGCUGUCUUGGGUUUUCUCUGUAAGUUUGGGUCCGUAGGCGCACACCCUCAUAAUCUCUGUCGCUCCCUCUAAUUUCUGUGGACAUACAGACACACGCAGUGUUUUAGAACGAUGCCCGCUUCAGAGUUUCAGUUCAACUCACCCAGACAGAAAUACAUUCUAUCACUGGCUAAGCAUAGUACGAACUGGGUGGACAUGGAGCCAAGGACAUGCUAAGUCAGAACUCGAAGUUGGGACAACUCAACAAGGGAAAGAGGAGCCUCAAGGGAGAUACCUGCAUAACACUGGAUGCACUGCAGAAGGAAUCAGAAAUGUUCUUAUGUUUUAGUGGCGGAAUGGCAAGGCGGCCGGUUAGAUGACCUGGGUCCGUGGUGAGUUGGUGGCUCUCGACUACAAGAAGAUCAUUGAGGCAAUCCAUAGUAGUUUUUGCUUCCGUAUUAAGAUUUCAACAAGAAUCUAUAAAGGCUCUAAGGGAGUAGAGGAAUCAAAAGAAAACACCUGACAGUGCAAAGUGCACUUAGGCAGUAAGGUCAACACAAGACUACUCAUGAAACGCCUCCAUCAGGAGGCCAAAAUAUACACAUACGAACUCCCGGACAUUGCAUACCGGGGAGCUUUCUUCUAUUUAGGAUUUAAGGCUGAUAACAUGCUCAUGAAAAGACAGGAAUGUAGCACCACUCCAAUCUUUAGAAGGUUCCCACCCUGUUCUGUGAUGAAUGUGGAUAAAGACGAAGCAGAGAACAUAAUAUCUUGGUGAAGGCAUCUCAACCGAGAUGAGACAUUGUUUUGAGUAAUGAAUCUGGAUAAAGACGAAGCAGAGAACAUAAUCUUGGUGAAGGCAUCUCAACUGAGAUGGGAUAUUGUUUAUUCAUUUAUACCAUAUCCUACUCAUAGUCUGUUGUUCUGUGAGCAAUUGUUUAUUUUUUAACAGCUUAGCACGGAUAAUGAAUCAUGUAUGGUGGCUUUGUUAAUAUUCAAGCAGUAUUAUAUUGUUUUUGUAUAAGUCGAGACGUGCAUUGCACGUACAAGCUUACUAGUUAAUGCAAAAAAAAAACUCAUUUAGUUUCUUUA